rnacentral:lncRNA from 1 species
UUUUUCUAUUUUUCUCUUAAUUCGAAUUUCUCAAGAUUUCCCUAAUUUGACUAAGCCCUAAUUCGAAAUUCUACUUUUCCCCACAUUUUAGAACUGAAGCACUAAUUUCUCACACCAAAUCGUGCAGCUACUCCACGGCGAUCAGGGAAUUGGACGGUGCCGGCUCUGGGUUCGACGGAGCUAGAACUCGCGGAGGCUCUCUGAAUCGAUUCGAUGACGAAGCAGGCUCUUGAGCUUGCCACGAAGCAGGGGAACAUGGCACACGACAACAGACAGGCUCGCGUCAGCGCCGGCUCUGGGUUCGACAGGGCUGAAGCUCACGAAGACGCAGGCUCUACGUUCAUGACGAAAGCAGGCUCUUUAACUUGCGACGAAGCAGGGAAGCAAUGACCUAGUGAAUUGGAAUCGACGACAAUCAGGUUCGCAACGAUGUCGGCUCUGGGUUUAUUUUAGUUAUGGAGUUCAUUGAGUCGACGAUGGAGGACAUGUAUGUAUGUUUUCCAUUAGGGUUUCGUUCAUUUGGCAUAAGCAGUUAUGCUUGUAGAUGACGAUUGAGUCUAUUUUCUCUAUUUGCAGUGGUUGUUUUGCUAUGUUUAUUCAUCAUGGUGGGUAUUUUGUCGAGGUUGUGUCACAUGAAUGGGUGUUAUGUGGGUAGGUUUGACUGACAAGAACAUGAUUUCGAUUUAUUGAAAUUGAACGAAGCUGUUAAAUCAGUAGGGUAUGCAUCCUAGAGUAAAUUAUGGUAUAGAUUACCUAGGAACAACUAAUUUAUUUGGAUUGAAUCUGAAAAACAGUUAAAGGACUUGUUAAAGCUU